CAAGGUUUCCAUAGGUGAACUUGCAGAAGGAUCAUUG
rnacentral:rRNA from 1 species